CGUGUUUCGAGUUACUCCGGAACACCCGGGAUUUUUCGUAUUUAGCCACGCCGGUCACGUGAUAUGAGCAAAAUGUUCCACAGGGGUACUUCCGGUUAAUUUUGUUUACACUGGUAACAAAAUUGUUUUUGACAAAAUAUAGAUUUUGCGGCACAAACUGUCGCAAAUCAGAUAAAGGAUAGCAAGGGAUAUAUAUUUACUUGGGAAGAUGUCAAAGUUUACCUUUUCCCAAACCCGGGAAAAGCGUUCACGCAGAGGAAACGAUGGCGUCAUUUGUGUAGAAAACCACGAGCAGCCGAAAUUGAGUGCGAUUAUUACAUUCCGUGAAAGCUGAACCAACAAAGAAACAUCAUUGUUCUAGCCAGUUUGCUUAUAUUAACUUUUAGGAAAACCAAGAGGUUGAUAACAAUGGCUGAUCUGCAUAUAAUGACUGCUAGUUAUUGGCUGGUAUGCAGUGAAAGGGAGCUAAAAAGGAGUAAAAAGUUCAUAUCAGCCAGGUGAGAAUUAAUUUCUUCUUUUUUGUGUGUUAUACAUAUGUAAUUCUUUUCUUUUGCUGCUUCAAAUCUUGUGUAUUUGAAAAUUUUCAGUCUAAUAUUUGGCAAUGUUAUAGGUAGUGUGGU